AUUGAACGCUGGCGGCAGGCCUAACACAUGCAAGUCGAGCGAGCGGCGGACGGGUGAGUAAUGUCGGGGAAACUGCCUGAUGGCGGGGGAUAACUACUGGAAACGGUAGCUCAUACCGCAUACCAUCAGAAGUGCCCAGAUGGGAUUAGCUAGGAGGGGGGGUAAUGGCUAACCUAGGCGACGAUCCCUAGCUGGUCUGUGAGGAUGACAGGCCACACUGGAACGGUGACACGGUCCAGAAUCCUACGGGAGGCAGCAGUGGGGAAUAUUGCACAAUGGGCGCAAGCCUGAUGCAGCCAUGCGGCGUGUAUGAAGAAGGCCUUCGGGUUGUAAAGUACUUUCAGCGAGGAGGCGUUACUCGCAGAAGAAGCACCGGCUAACUCCGUGCCAGCAGCCGCGGUAAUAC
rnacentral:rRNA from 1 species